rnacentral:rRNA from 1 species
AGGGAAUCUUCCGCAAUGGACGAAAGUCUGACGGAGCAACGCCGCGUGAGUGAAGAAGGUUUUCGGAUCGUAAAACUCUGUUGUUAGAGAAGAACAUGUCUGAGAGUAACUGUUCAGGCAAUGACGGUAUCUAACCAGAAAGCCACGGCUAACUACGUGCCAGCAGCCGCGGUAAUACGUAGGUGGCAAGCGUUGUCCGGAUUUAUUGGGCGUAAAGCGAGCGCAGGCGGUUUCUUAAGUCUGAUGGGAAAGCCCACGGCUUAACCGUGGAGGGUCAUUGGAAACUGGGAAUCUUGAGUGCAGAAGAGGAGAGUGGAAUUCCAUGUGUAGCGGUGAAAUGCGUAGAUAUAUGGAGGAACACCAGUGGCGAAGGCGACUCUCUGGUCUGUAACUGACGCUGAGGCUCGAAAGCGUGGGGAGCAAAC